UCAUAUGUAUUCAGAAUGACCCAGACUAUCACUGUAUUAAUUCUCAAGGCAUUUUACUGUAUAGUUUUGGAGAAAACUAAAAGCAAAUUCACCCAAAACAACAAAAUGCAUCCUAGCAAUUGCAGUUUAUCCCAUUUUCCAAAAUUCAUAUAAAGUGUUCCUAUAUAGGUUAGCUCAUUAUUUUAAUGUAUAUGUAUUCAGAGUGACCCAGACUAUCAUUGUAUUCAUUUUCAAGUUAUUUUACUGUAUAGUUUUGGAGAAAACUAAAAGCAAAUUCACCCGAAACAUCGAACUCCAUUGUUGCACUUGCACUUUUUCCCAUUUUCCAAAAUUUAUAUAAAGUGUUCCUUUAUAGGUUAGCUCAUUCUUUUAAUGUAUAUGUAUUCAGAAUGACCCAGACUAUCACUGUAUUCAUUGUCAAGGCAUUUUACUGUAUAGUUUUGGAGAAAACUAAAAGCAAAUUCACCCGAAACAUCGAACUCCAUUGUUGCGCUUGCACUUUUUCCCAUUUUCCAAAAUUCAUAUAAAGUGUUCCUUUAUAGGUUAGCUCAUUCUUUUAAUGUAUAUGUAUUCAGAAUGACCCAGACUAUCACUGUAUUCAUUUUCAAGUUAUAUUACUGUAUAGUUUUGGAGAAAACUAAAAGCAAAAUCAUCGAAAACAACAAAA